rnacentral:rRNA from 1 species
ACCAGACUUGCCCUCCAAUUGAUACUCGUUAAGAGAUUUAGAUUGUACUCAUUCCAAUUACUAAAUUUUAUUACAAAUUUAGUAUUGUUAUUUAUUGUCACUACCUCCCCAUGUUGGGAUUGGGUAAUUUGCGCGCCUGCUGCCUUCCUUGGAAGUAGUAGCCGUUUCUCAGGCUCCUUCUCCGGAAUCAAACCCUGAUUCUCCGUUACCCGUUACCACCAUGGUAGUCCUCUAUACUACCAUCGAAAGUUGAUAGGGCAGAUAUUUGAAUGAACUAUCGUCAGUACUAAGACUAUACGAUUAGUUAAAUUACUAUGAAUCACCAAUAUUUAAACUAUUUAUUAAAUUGCUUUAAUAAAUAGUAUUGGUUUUGUAUCUAAUAAAUACAACCUUUCCGUUCCCAGUUAGGUUUUUACGCAUGUAUUAGCUCUAGUUUUACCACGGUUAUCCAAGUGGUAUUUACCAUCAAAUAAAUUAUAACUGAUUUAAUGAGCCAUUCGCAGUUUUACAGUACAAGUGCUUAUACUUAGACAUGCAUGGCUUAGUCUUUAAGACAAGCAUAUGACUACUGGCAGGAUCAACCAG